UGGAGGAAGCCUUUCAAGUGUGAUAAAUAGCGAACAGUGCAUGCUUUUGACGGCACAACAACUGCAAUCAUGUUCACGGCAAAAACACUCUGCAUUAUCCUUUUAUUGAAUUUCGCGAUGAUUUUCGCCGGCCAAUGUGCUCCUGCAGGGAACACGUUGGAUAAUGACGAAUUGAGGGAUGAACGAAUCUGGCAAUACGCGAAAUACAUUCCCAAUGCCAUUAGUGCAGUACAAGGAGCGAUCGAUGGUUGGAAGUCAGGCUAAAAACGAAGGAUGCAGGCUGAUGCAACAUAGCAGAUGAAAAUGUCAUUUUAUUUCGUUGUCAAAAAUGAUAUUAAUAAAUAAAUGUCGACAAUCGCAAAACA